AGUCUUAUAUUCAACAAUGAUUUUAAAUUGCAAAUUUAAAGGUGAAUUUAAUUCUAAGACUU
rnacentral:tRNA from 1 species